AUACGGAUGGUGCGAGCGUUGUUCGGAAUUACUGGGCGUAAAGGGCGCGUAGGCGGCGAUGUAAGUCAAAUGUGAAAGUCCUCGGCUUAACCGGGGAAGUGCAUCUGAAACUGCAUUGCUUGAGUAUGGGAGAGGAAAGUGGAAUUCCCGGUGUAGAGGUGAAAUUCGUAGAGAUCAGGAGGAAUACCGGUGGCGAAGGCGACUUUCUGGACCAAUACUGACGCUCAGGCGCGAAAGCGUGGGGAGCAAACAGGAUUAGAUACCCUAGUAGUCC
rnacentral:rRNA from 1 species